CAUACCUAUUCGAAGGGAUAGGGUCGGUUUGGCCGGAUUUCACACAGGUGUUGCAUGGCUGUCGUCAGCUCGUGUCGUGAGAUGUUGGGUUAAGUCCCGCAACGAGCGCAACCCUCAUCCUUAGUUACCAUCAGGUUAUGCUGGGGACUUUAAGGAAACUGCCAGUGAUAAACUGGAGGAAGGUGGGGAUGAUGUCAAGUCAUCAUGGCCCUUAUGGAGGGGGCUACACACGUGCUACAAUGGUGAUUACAAUGGGCUGCAAGGUCGCAAGGCUGAGCUAAUCCUAAAAAAUCAUCUCAGUUCGGAUUGUUCUCUGCAACUCGAGAGCAUGAAGUUGGAAUCGCUAGUAAUCGUGGAUCAGCAUGCCACGGUGAAUACGUUCUCGGGUCUUGUACACACUGCCCGUCACGCCAUGGGAAUUGGUUUCACUCGAAGCU
rnacentral:rRNA from 1 species